GUAAGGGAAGCAAUUAGGGCAGAGGCUUGUCAUUGCCCCCUUGUUCUCAUGCCCUCCCCAGGGUGAUCUGCAGAGGUGAGAGACCUCCUCGUACCAGGUGGUUUAUUUAUGAACCUACAAGUAUUGCCCACAGAAAUGGGCACAGUGAACUCUUCGUUGCACUCUCGUAAUGCCAAGCUUCUGAGCCAGGAUCUCAUACAUGAGCAGAUACGCUCACUCACGCUUCUGCAUAAAGCCAGGAACUGUCCAAGCUGUUUGAGGGCGCACAGUUGAAGGGCAAACAGGAGGCUGCCUGUUUGGCCGGCUGAGACCACCAACUCAUCAACCAGGCCCGCAGAGAUGUCGGAUAGGCGAUCUUUUGACGUCAAGAGGCUAAAAACUCCACCCUCUGAUCAUGCUAACGCCGACAUUUUGUGAACAUGGGUCCUAUGAAGAGGCAUGGAGUCUGACUACGCUUGCGCAGCUCAUCAUUACCUCACCUCUCCUCCCCUCCAAUCACCUCUCUCCACACUUCAGACCACCUUGCCCCCAUCCCAUAAAUAUCCCUGAGUCCCUAUUUUCAGGGAAGUGGAUUUGAGGCUCAUGCUCUCGCUUCCUCCCAUGGCUGCCUUGUGAGUAAACCCUCACUCUGCUGCGAUCUGGUCAUCUCGGUGUUUGGCUUUCUGGGCAGUGGGCAAAAACGAACCUGGUUUGGUGACAGUAUCACUCGAUUUAGCAACAUCUAGUUGUCACCACUGUCUUUAAUAGAGUCAUUUAAGUAAAAAUUCUCCUUCAGGGAUAGUGUUUUUUGGUUUUCUGUUUUAAAGGUUAAACUUUUCAUAUUUGAGAAAAUGUGUGUAGGUAAUUGUCAUCCAAGCCUUCUCAGAUCGUCAUUGUUAGCAGAAUCCUGUAUGACUUUGUGAACCAGGGGUCCUACCAGCACAGUAUGUAAUGAUUGAAAGAAAUCUUAGAACAGAAAUAGAGACAGCAGCCAGAACACUAUCAAGCUCCAAUUGGCCACCACGGAAAGCAGUUGUCCUUUAAAUCAGAGACAUCUGUUCUGUUAAGGCCAGGCUGUUUCUCAAGCCUCCCCCGGGCAGCAGGAGGUCAGAUCUGAGCGCUCCUUCAGAUUUGC
rnacentral:lncRNA from 1 species